UAGGUGAACCUGCGGAAGGAUCAUUAGUGAAUUGCUCUUUGAGCGUUAACUACAUCCAUCUACACCUGUGAACUGUUGAUCAACUUCGGUUGAUUGCUUUACAAACAUUGUGUAAUGAACGUCAUGUUAUUAUAACAAAAAUAACUUUCAACAACGGAUCUCUUGGCUCUCGCAUCGAUGAAGAACGCAGCGAAAUGCGAUAAGUAAUGUGAAUUGCAGAAUUCAGUGAAUCAUCGAAUCUUUGAACGCAACUUGCGCUCUCUGGUAUUCCGGAGAGCAUGCCUGUUUGAGUAUCAUGAAAUCUCAACCAUUAGGGUUUCUUAAUGGCUUGGAUUUGGGCGUUGCCAGUAGCCUGGCUCGCCUUAAAAGAGUUAGCGUGUUUAACUUGUCGUAUCUGGCGUAAUAAGUUUCGCUGGAGUAGACUUGAGAAGUGCGCUUCUAAUUAUUUCUGACAAUUAAUGAAUUCUGGUCUCAAAAUCAUGUAAAUUACCUUUUUAUUUUUUAAUUAAAAAUGGAAAUAAUCUUA
rnacentral:misc_RNA from 1 species